UUCAGUGUAACUUCCAUCGCAUCGACAAAAUUAUAUACGGCUGUUCUUAGUCACCGUCUUGAAAUGUAUCAUAGAGAAAGUUAUUCGUGACAAAAAAGAAAUAAUUACACUAUACUUAUAUACAGGACAUUGAUGAUAAGUCGUUAUAAAGUUUCUUUGACAUUUUAAUUCAUCAAUUCUAUAAUCGAUUCGUCAUUUUCAUGGUUUAUGCAAAGAGUCGUAACUUCCUAAGCAACCAAUGACGAGUGGUUUGAAAAUGUAUGAUUAUGACAAAAGUCCAAUUCACAUGUCUGCCGAGUUACUCGUUCGUUGGUGGGAAAACCGAAGUCUCUCACGGCAGUAAACUUUCGCGUGACCCGUAGAGCAGCAAAUAUAGAAAGAGCAAGUGUAAAAUCCUAACCUGACAGCAUAGCAGGUGAGUCUGAUACGAGUGUACUAACCAGAUAGAGUUUGCUGCUGCUACACGGGAACGUUGUAAUAAAGUAGAAGAAAGAGCACCGAGUUCAAGAACACCCGCUGCCACUCCUUGAUCAAUACCAACAGGAUUCUAUGUCCCACGGAGAGCCCAUACGCUAAGGACUUUCAGCUUCGUCCGCCAACUUGCAUCGUUCUGCAUUCAUUUCUGUGGAUCCGCCUUAAACGUCUUAAUGGUAGUUCAAGGACGAUUUGGGCGCUGUUCUCUGGGAGGAAGUUUCCUGCUCAGUUUUAUAAUGCAGACAAGUCGAAAGUGCAGUGGAGCAAGCUCGGUGAGUCGAGCCAAGCUGAGCCACGUCUGAUGCACUAGUGGGGAUUGGCGAGGAUUGGUGGGGAUCGGUGGGGACUGGUGGGGACUCAGUGUCCUUAGCUCUCGGACGGUCCGGCCUUGAGACGCAGCGAUCCUCAAUGCACUUACCGUUCGAACGGGAAACUGCAAUCUCUGUACUGAGGAAAUGGCUGUUUAGCACGAGGGACCAAAGAACUCUUAUUUCUUCCUCUUUUCGAUACGACGAACUCACGAAUUCGUGAGAUUAUUUUUGUAUGUGUUACACCGAUUGAUAAUGUGUAUCAUUUGUUAGCCAUACGGCUUAUCAGUAUAAUGUUUAUAAGAGAUGUUUUGAUAAAAUUCCAGUAAUUCGGUAACCGUGGGAACAUUUUUCGAGUAAGUGAAAUAGCAUGUUAUCUAAUGGUGUUUUAGUACUUUCGUUAUACUACUUUGGUCUUUUUUUAAUAUCAAUAUAUCCUACUGAAUAUUACUUCGGGAAUACAUCUGAUGCAUUUGAAUAAGAUCAGCUAUGUUGGAUGUUACGUUUAAUUAUUCUAUAGGUAACAGUAUAUAAAGUGUUUAAUCAAUAAUAUUUAAAUAAUUUUUUUACUUGUGGUUGGAUUUUUUCAUUAAUAAUUAUUGUUAAAAUUCAAGAAUUUUUAUGUGUAAGUGGCUUUUAUAUGGCAAGAAUUCGAUGUGUCAGGAUGGCCGAGCGGUCUAAGGCGCUGCGUUCAGGUCGCAGUCCACUUCUGUGGGCGUGGGUUCGAAUCCCACUUCUGACAAAUUUUUUUUUUUCAAAAUGGUUUUAAUAUACAAAUAAUAAAUUGUAUUCUUAAAUGUUUUAACUUCUUCAAAGCUUUAAACAGUCUAAUAAUAAAUUUUACUAUUUUAUUUCUCUAGUAAAGUCAUAUUUGUGAUACUUUCAAUUCGUUGUACCAGAGGCGUGAAUUUUUAGAAUACAAGGUCCACAUAUGGCACCAAGUUAAUCUGAGUUUACGUAUUCCCAUGUCUCUCCCGAGCAGACUGUACCUUUCUAUACGAAAGCUCAUGGAGUGCGGAUGGCGAUGAAGAAGGAACAAGAGAAGGAGGUGGUUGCGAAGGAGGUAGAAGUAACCUUGAGAGUUGGUGAGGCGACGGCCAUCUUGUCAAGAUGCACUUUUGUUUUUUACCCGGCAAAACUCGCCAGGCUUCAUCCUCUCUCACUCACUUCCUCUCGUCCUACUCUAGUCUUCCUUUCCAGCUAUGUCAGCGUUCUUUAUCUAUCCGCCCUAUAAUCCUCCUUUGACACAUACAUUGCAUAUAAAAUACCUCAUAUCAAAACAAGAAAUAUUCACUACUAAAAGUCCCAUAAGCCACCCUGUAAAUAUUCUAAUUCCGAUCUUAAAUUUUUAGAAAAAAGAAAAAACCACUCCAGUCUACUUCCCAGUUAAUUAUUACAUUUAAAAAAUUGAACAAUAUAUAUUCAUUUAUUAUACGCAAGUCAAUCGUAGCCCACAAACAGAACCUUACUCUUAUGUUAGUCAAUGAUAUUCGUAAAUUUGUAGCUGGGGCGGGAGCGCAAGUGGCGCCGCGCACCAAAGAACGGUCAAAGGGCGAAUCUCCGGGCCGGCGCAGAGUCGAGGCAAGCGCCGCAGUCGCGCGCUUGCACUCUCAGCGGUAAGCAGAGGUGUUACGCACCGAUGUCUGUUCGUCGUUCGUUUAUUUCCCGUAAGUCUGUUUGUCGUGUGUUCUCAAGCUGUCGACUAGACACGUCGUACCUAGGAGCACAGCAGUCACGCGCUGUGUUCGUCAAGUCUAACGAGUGCCGUGGUACACGUGUGCAGUGUGCAGUGCAGUUACCGCCCUCCGCAGGACCGUAAACACACACCAUCGCCCGGAUAUCACGGAGCAACGCUUGUUAUAUGGUGGUAGAGGUCGAACUCCUGGCGAAAGAGGACGUCUCGACGCUCGAGGGCGAUGUGGCUCAGUGGGGAAACUCGAGGAGGUGAUAACAGCUUCUGACCUUCCUUUUGACCGUGUCGCGAGAAAGAGAAAGAAAAAUAAAAGAAGAGUGCACCAUAACCUCUAACCUCUAACUCGAAAGGGGAUUGACUCUGCAAGCGAGAAAAAAAAAAGAAUUACCGGCGGACGCCUCGUCCACCUAUCGACACACUUCUACCUUAAAAAAUAUACCUCGUACCUACAAGUACCUUCAUACCAUUUUCACAGCGCAAUAGUGCCUAGCCCCGUAUGCAUCGCUAAUGUUAUUAAUUAAAGGAUAAAUAAAUACGAUUACGAUAAAUCGAUUUUUGUGCGGUACCGUCACGUCACGCGGACAUACUACGCGCGCGUGCGCGCGCACCCCCGCUACACGCGUUCGUAAUUGAUAUAGAAAAGGAGCCGCGCGCGGUCUGGUCUGCUGAGAGAGUGAGAGAGAGAGAGGGAGAAUAUAUAUUGAAGAAAAAAGAGUGCAGGAGAGGUGAGAGAUACUCGAGAAACAGCAGAGAGAGAGAGAGAAAGUGGGAUUUAUGCACGUAUACGAAAAUGUGAGAGAGACACACCUAUUAUACCGGAAAGACCGAUAAUACUGGCUUUACGUGGGGUCACCCGUUAUAGAUACCUGUUACAUCUUCAAUUUCGAACGCACCUACAAAUUUACAUAACUGCGAACGAAUCAGGAUAGCGAAGUACCUGCAGACAGAUAUAUUUAUUAUAACGUUCUAGAGAAGGAUACGCCGUGACGGAGUGUGAAAUCGCGUUGUGCGACGACUAAAAUUAUACACGACUAAGUCUACUCUAUAUACGAGAGAUACCUCUACUCAGCGAUAACGAGGCUCCGUUCUACAAAAUACGAGAUCAAGAUACCUCAGAAGACAGACGGGUGUAUAGUCCCGGAGGACAGUAUGCAAAGGGAGAGAUUGGACGCUCACGUAAAGAUGCGAUAGGAUUUCGAGAUCAUCGUAAGAGGAUCACCGAAGAAUCGCCGUAGGAUCUGACAGGUCUCUCUCUCGUGGCCAGAGAAAGCAAUUCCGCAGGAUUCUGCGGGACGAGAGAGCCGCUCCCAUUGGUCGAGUCGAGUCUCAAGGUCUCAACGGCGGAAAAGUAGCAGAAGCAACAAAGCAAGAAGCAUCGGCAGCCGAGCCGGCCAGCAGCGCCGCCGCCAGAAGCAGAAGCAUCGGGCGACGUUAGCGUGGCGAAGAUAAUCAAUGUGAAAUCUCGAGCGUGCGUCUAUGCGGGCUGAGAGAGACGGAUAGUAAGAUCGAGAGAAAGGAGAGGAAAAUAAAGGGACGUAGUAAGACACGGGGAAAGAAUCUCGUGCUUCGGGUGUUGGAGGUUGGAGGGGGACUUUUAUUUUUCGUUUAACCAGAGACGUCACCGGGAAGGACCCAAGGGGAUCGAAGACCCGCACGGGGAUCAAAAGGUGGGUUCGGUGCGGGAAAUACUUGGCGCAUGCCGGGAUAAUCGAGAGUCGCAGGCCAGGGGGCAGCAAGUGCCGAGUGACGAAGGGAG